GUCUGCCCAAUUUUCUAAAUACUUUCAUUAGUCCCUAGCCUUAUCUUAUAGUUAGGAUAGCCUUAUGCCUAUCCCACGCAUGCUUAAAAUCCUUUACUGUGUUAACCUCUACCACUUCAGCUGGAAGGCUAUUCCAUGCAUCCACUACCCUCUCAGUAAAGUAAUACUUCCUGAUAUUAUUUUUAAACCUUUGUCCCUCUAAUUUAAGACUAUGUCCUCUUGUUGUGGUAGUUUUUCUUCUUUUAAAU